rnacentral:lncRNA from 1 species
UAUGGUGCUUACCUAUUGUAUUCUUGUUUUAAUGGUCUUCCCAUCCUAUUAUGUUGACAUAUAGGGCAUUUGGUAACCUUCUUUAUUGGAGGAGGCGAGGUUCUGACAGAAGCCUAAGCUGGACCUCUUGUUAUGAAGGCUGUUGUUUAUUCUCUUCCUAGUUUGCUCCUUGUUUCAUGCAAUGGGUAGUUCUGGACUCAAUAAUUGUCAGUUUUUUCUUGUUUGUUACCUAACCAGUUAUCGUCUAACACGGCACAUUUGAGUCCUCUUCUAUUGUGGACUUACCCAUCAUUUCUGUUGCUACUUUCAAGAAUAGUGCCAUCUUGUACUACUAUCAAAUAGGGAAGCAUGUAAAUUGUGUCUUAUGUUAAUAGUUUUGUCUUUUCUUUAUGAUAAUCUUACUGUGAGAGAACUUUGGUCUACGUUGUAACAUCAACCGGUGUUUGCAGUUCCUUAAUUGAUUGCAUUUUCUUCUCUCUUUUUAUUUUCUUUUUUAAGAUUUUCUAAUAUGUUUGUGGUUGUCUACACUGCAUUGUUUCUAGGUAAAGAUAAUAUUACUGUGAGAGAUCUUGGGUCUACGUUGUAACAUCAACAGGUGUUUUCAGCUCCUUAAUUGAUUGCCUUAUCUUCUCUUAUGUUUUUUUAAUAAAAUUUGUUUAAAUAGUCAUCAGUGUUAUCUUCUGUGUAAUAGUUUAUCUUAUUUUGCAGGAUAUAUUUUUGACUCUUAUCAUUUUGAUUUAACCAGAAAUGUCAAGCCCAACAAUUAACUUUUUAUUUUGUUUUGAAGGUUAUCCACAUCCAUAACAUUAUCUUUUGGUGGCAGUGUUUCAGUCCAGUAGUUUCCCAAUUUGACAUGUUAAAUUUGGCAUUCGUUUUUUUCUUCAUUAAGCCCUUUAUUUUUGUGCGCCUUAUCUCUUACUUUCUCUCUCAUUUUUUCCCCAGAUUAGAAGUAGAGUUGCACGUGUUUUGGGGCUAGUUAUCAACAUGGUGCAUUGAGCCCUUGGUGGUUACCUAUUCCAACCUUGUUGAUUUAUCCACAUCAAUAUAUUUAUGCUUUGAUGGAGGUCUUUCAAUCCAGUGGUUACCCAAUUUGACGGUUUUCUUUGUCAUUCGUUUCUUAUUCCUCAUCAACUUUUUUCUGCUCGUCAUAUUCUCUCUCAUUUUUUUCAGAGAUUAGAAGUAAAGUUGCACAUUUGUUUGGGGGGAGUUAUCAACAUGGUGCAUUGAGCCUUUGGUGGUUUACCCUUUUCUAACCUUGCUCAUUUCGGAUCAUGCAUUCAUACUCUUCUUUUUAAUUUCCGCAUUCACUUUUAUUUCGAACUAGAAAAUAUCAAGCCCAACAAUUAACUUUUAAUUUUUGUUUUGAAGGAAUUUUGUUUGAAUGUUAUUUGCAUCAAUAACAUUAUCCUUUGGCCCCUGUGUUUCAGUCUAGUGGUUACCCAAUUUGAUGUGUUUUAUUUGUCAUUCUUUUUUUGCUCUUCAUUUAGCUCUUUGUUUUUGUGCAUCUUAUCCCUCUCUUUCUCUCGCAUUUUUUUUCUUCCAGAGAUUUUAGAAGUAGAGCUGCAUGUGUUUUGGGGGAUGUUAUCAACAUGGUGCAUUGAGCCCUUGGCGGUUUACCUUUCAAACCUUGUUUAUUAAUCCACAUCAAUGCCAUUAUGCUUUGGUGGGGGUGUUUCAAUCCUUUGGUUACCCAAUUUGACGUGUUUGUUUUUUAAUUCGUUUCUUAUUCCUCUUUAAGCCCUUUUUCUGCGUCUUUUUAUCUUUCUUUUUUCCCAGAGAUUAGAAGUAAAUCUGCACAUUUGUUUAGGGGGAGUUAUCAACGUGGUGCAUUGAUCCCUUGGUGGUUUACCUUUUCUAACCUUGGUCAUUUCUUUUUUAGAGAUUGAGGUGCCUAAAUUUAUGAAUUAUUAUUUAAAUACCCUUCCCUAUUUUAUGUUUACAACUUGUCUUGGCAUUCACUAUCGAGUUCUUGCUAGUUACCUGUUCUCUGGGUAAUUUUAGUUAUUGACUUGAAUUUUCUGUACCUUUUUAUUUUUUCCUUGAUUAGUUGACAAAAAAAAGUAGUCCUUCAUUUUUUUGUUUUUGUUUUUCCUUGAGUCUUCUUUUGUCUUCCUUAUCCUGUUGUUUUUCUCUUCCGAGUGUCCCCAGGCUCCGAGGCAAACUAUUAACUUGGUGCAGAGGGGCCCUAGUGCAGUAAUAUUUCUAGCUUAAUUGAUUUUUUUAUCUGAAUUUUGAAGGUGCUUUUGUAUUAUUGUUUUAAUACUCUUCCUUUCCAUAAUGUUGACAUAGGGAAUUUGGUAGCCUUCUCCGAGUAGGUGGGGCUCUGACUUAUUUUAUCAUUUUUUGUCCAUGAGCUAUUUUAAGUUGAAUUCAUCAGUUAUUUACCAACUUGUUUUGUGAUCCUGAUCUUUGCAUUAUCCACUGACAAUCAGAAGCCUAAGCUUGACCUCUUAUUAUGAUAGGCUGUGAUGUAUUAUCUUUCGUGGUUUGCUCCUGGUUUCGUGCAAUGGGUAGUUCUGAACUCGACUUGUCAGAUUUUUCUUGCUUUUAAUUGUUUUACGCCUAACAUGGAAAAUUUCAAUUCUUUUCUAUUUUGCAACUUCCCUGCUGCCACUGUUGGCAUUUUGCUGCUAUCAAGGAUACUGCCAUCCGGUAAUUCCAAACUGGGAAGCCUGUAAAUUGUGUUUCAUAUGUUAAUAAUUUGGUCUUUUCUUAUUGAUAAUAUUACUGUGAGAGAACUUCGGCCUACAUAAUUACGUCAACCGGUGUUUGCAGUUCCUUAAUUGAUUGCAUUUUGUUCUCUCUUUUGUUUUUUUUAAAUGUUUUUAAUCUGUGUGGUUGUCUACUGUGCAUUGUUCCUAGGUUGACUUGGAAAAAACUAGAGUAUUUAGUCGUUGAGGUUCGAAAAAUUAAUUGUAUUAUGUGGUUUUGUAAAUUGUAAUAAAUUUUGAUCUAAUGUACAUCACUUGUAUCUUAUGUAUAAUAAUUUAUCUCAUUUUGAAGGAUAUAUUUUUGACUCUUGAACAUUUUGACUAAGCCUUGUCAGUGGUUUUGGAGCAGGCAUUCUUACUCUUUUCUAUAUCAGCAUUCACAUUUAUUUCUAAACAAAAAAUAUCAAGCCCAACAAUUAACUUUCUACUUUUGUUUUGAAGGAAUUUCGGUUGAAGGUUAUCUACAUCAAUAACAUUAUCCUUUGGUCCCCGUGUUGCAGUCCAGUGGUUACCCAAUUUAUAGUGUUUUAUUUGUCAUUCUUUUUGUUUUUCAUUUAGCCCUUUGUUUUUGUGCAUCUUAUCCCUCUCUUUCUCUCGCAUUUUUUUCUUCCAGAGAUUAGAAGUAGUGUUGCAUGUGUUUUUGGGGAAGUUAUCAACAUGGUGCAUUGAACCCUUGGUGGUUUACCUUUCAAACCUUUGUUCAUUUCUUUUCUACACAUUGAGUGUCUAAUUUUAUUGAUUAUUCUUUAAAUACUCUUCCCUGAUUUACUACAUGGUCAACUUGAGAUGGCAUUUGCUAUCUAGUUUUGGCUAGUUUCAUGUUCUAUGUGUAUCUUUAGUUAUUGAAUUGAAUUUUCAGUACCUUUUCUUUUGAGAAGUUAACAAUAAAAAGUAAUCCUUCGUACGUUGUUUUUGUUCUUCCUUUAGUCUCAUUCUACUCCCUUAUCCCCUAGUUUUUAUGUUCAGUGUUCCAAGGGAUAGUGGGUCUUUAGCGAAAUAAAUUUGUCUGGCAUAGUUAAAUUCUUUUCUGAAAUUUUAUGGUGCUUACCUAUUGUAUUCUUGUUUUAAUGGUCUUCCCAUCCGAUUAUGUUGACAUAUAGGGCAUUUGGUAACCUUCUUUAUUGGAGGAGGCGAGGUUCUGACUUAUUUUAUUUUUUUUGUCCAAAAUUAUCUGGAAUUGUAUUCAUUGGUUAUCUAACAGCUUGUUUUGUGACCCUUGUCUUUCUGUUGUCCACUGACAUUCAGAAGCCUAAGCUGGACCUCUUAUUAUGAAGGCUGUUGUGUAUUCUCUUCCUUGUUUGCUCCUGGUUUCAUGCAAUGGGUAGUUCUGGACUCAAUAAUUUUCAGUUUUUUCUUAUUUGUUACCUAACCAGUUAUCGUCUAACAUUUCACAUUUGAAUCAUCUUCUAUUGUGGACUUCCCCACCACUGUUGUUGCUACUAUCAAGGUAGUGUUAUCUUGUACUACCAAAUAGGAAGCAUGUAAAUUGUGUCUUAUGUUAAUAGUUUUGUCUUUUCUUUAUGAUAAUCUUACUGUGAGAGAACUUUGGUCUACGUUGUAACAUCAACCGGUGUUUGCAGUUCCUUAAUUGAUUGCAUUUUCUUCUCUCUUUUUAUUUCUUUUUUAAAAUUUUCUAAUAUGUUUGUGGUUGUCUACACUGCAUUGUUUCUAGGUAAAGAUAAUAUUACUGUGAGAGAUCUUGGGUCUACGUUGUAACAUCAACGGGUGCUUGCAGCUCCUUAAUUGAUUGCGUUUUCUUCUCUUAUGUUUUUUUAUUAAAAUUUGUUCAAAUAGUCAACAAUUAACUUUUUAUUUUGUUUUGAAGGUUAUCCACAUCCAUAAUUUGGCAUUCGUUUUUUUCUUCAUUAAGCCCUUUAUUUUUGUGCGCCUUAUCUCUUACUUUCUCUCUCAUUUUUCCCCCAGAUUAGAAGUAGAGUUGCACGUGUUUUGGGGCUAGUUAUCAACAUUGUUCAUUGAGCCCUUGGUGGUUACCUUUUCCAACCUUGUUGAUUUAUCCACAUCAAUAUAUUUAUGCUUUGAUGGAGGUUUUUCAAUCCAGUGGUUACCCAAUUUGACGUGUUUUCUUUGUCAUUCGUUUCUUAUUCCUCACCAACUUUUUUCUGCUCGUCAUAUUCUCUCUCAUUUUUUUCAGAGAUUAGAAGUAAAGCUGCACAUUUGUUUGGGGGGAGGUAUCAACAUGGUGCAUUGAGCCUUUGGUGGUUUACCCUUUUCUAAC